GAUGAACGCUGACAGAAUGCUUAACACAUGCAAGUCAACUUGAACUUCGGUUUGGGUGACGGACGGGUGAGUAACGCGUAAAGAACUUGCCUCACAGUUAGGGACAACAUUUGGAAACGAAUGCUAAUACCUGAUAUUAUGAUUUUAGGGCAUCCUAGAAUUAUGAAAGCUAUAUGCGCUGUGAGAGAGCUUUGCGUCCCAUUAGCUAGUUGGAGAGGUAACGGCUCACCAAGGCGAUGAUGGGUAGCCGGCCUGAGAGGGUGAACGGCCACAAGGGGACUGAGACACGGCCCUUACUCCUACGGGAGGCAGCAGUGGGGAAUAUUGGACAAUGGACCAAGAGUCUGAUCCAGCAAUUCUGUGUGCACGAUGAAGUUUUUCGGAAUGUAAAGUGCUUUCAGUUGGGAAGAAAAAAAUGACGGUACCAACAGAAGAAGUGACGGCUAAAUACGUG
rnacentral:rRNA from 1 species